GACGGCGGCCCCGGCCCCUCGGCCCCGGCUCCGGCGGCGGCCCCGGGCCACCCUGCCGCCUUGGUAGCGCCGGUCCGCACUCGGCCUGACCCGGGACGUCACGCCGCCUGUCUGUUUUCUCAAUGAUAACUUGGCAGCGGCAGGGGGAAGCGCGGCCGGGUUAUGUAUUUUAUUUUAUGGUUUUUUCCCCCUUGGGCUCGGUACCGGGUUGACGCUGGGCGCCGGGCGAGCCGAGCUGGUCAACGCCGGGUCCCACCUGGAGGAGGGAAGCACACGCCAAAAGGAAAAGAAAAAAAAGAAAGAAAAAAAAAAAAAAAAAAGGAAAAAAAAAAUCACGGAAACGGGCGGUUGGGGAGGAGGGGGAUGGGGGUGCCACCCGGAUGCGGAGGAUGGGACAGCGCAGCCCGCACAGAGCAGGGCCCUGCCAUGUCCCUGCAGGGAAUGGGACUGAUGGAAAAGGCACCCCGAGUCGGGAGGGAACGCAGGCCCGUGUGGGCUGCUCGGGGACCACCAGGAUGUUGUGUGGAGGCUGGUGGGUGCUGGGCCAGGCUGGGUGGUGGGUGACCUGCAUGUGGUGACAAGGCCUGCUGCCACCAGGUCAACCUGUGUGACUGGAUGUUGCUGUGAGCAGGGCUAGGGGUUGGCACUAGGCUUAGCUUGCUUUCCUUGGGGUUUGUGCUCUUAAAAGGAAGACCAUAGAAUCAUUGAGAUUGGAAAAGACUACUAAGAUCAUCUAAACCAACCAUUCCUGCUAACCCAUGUCCCUCAGCGUAAGUACACAUGGGGGCAGGGACCUUUUAGUUGUGUGCACUUCUUCCUGCACAGUUAUUUCCAGUGCUAGGCCUUGCUUUCAGUUAUUCACUGUGGCACGGCCCGCUGUGACCUUUCAGCCAAAGAUAGGUCAUUGCAAGCAUACACUUAAUAUCCCAACCUGCCAACUCACCACAGCACCUGCACACUGACCAAAGUGCUCAGUAAGGCCCAAUAUCAAGUGGCUCCAUCCCACACUGCAUUUUCUACUUCCUAUUCUGACAACAGCUCGCCACGUAUGUGUAGCUAGUGCGACAGUUCAUAGAGCAGCUGAAAAGCUGAAGCAGCACAGGGCUGAAACUAAAUUAUUGUUGCAGCUUCAAUUAGCAUUAAUGCUUUCAUUUUCUUCAUUUAAAUACAACAAAAGAGAAGAUUGUCUUUGCUUAAUAUUGUUACUAAUCGGGUUUUGCUCUUCCAGUUUUUUAAGAAGGUGAAGCCAGGGAGAAUUUAGCAUGUACCUUUGCUGCUGCCAGAUUUGGUACUCUGGAACAGUGCCUUAUUUUAAGUGGAAAAAGCCUUUGCUCUUUAACUGGGGGGAAAAAUAAGUCCUCAGAAUACAGUGAAGUCCAAGCAAUAUUUUAAGGAGAAUGAAAUUGAAAAAGUACUUUUUAUUUUUUAAGACGAGCUAUUCAAGCUGCUUUCUGUCUUGUCUAUAAAGACAAAUUUGCAUAGUGUUUCUGUUUCAGAAUUGUUUUGAGUGGCAUUUGGACUAAGGUUUUAUUUGUCUGAAGCAUAUUGUCUCAACAGAGCUCUGGAGAGUGCAGGGUAUGUUACUGAUAUAUUGGUCUUGGUAGACUUAAAAAGCACUUUGUGUAGCUUGAUUGUUGUCUGUAUUUUGCCAUUUAUUUUUCAGUGAGGCUCUUCUGAUUGAUGUGGGGAGUUUCUUUAAAGAGAUUUAAGUUAUGGCAUUGCUACCCAAGAUGCUCUGCGCAGUUGUUCCAUACCUCUCCUAAGAGGGAGAUUUUAGUUGCGAUUGUUAUGCUUUUAAAAGGGAAUUAGUUAAUCAAAUUGCUGGUUUUGGAAUGCAUUGAAAGGAAUAUUGAAAUGCAUUAACUUCAUUAAAAGAAGUGAGCAGAUAGGCAACAAAACAAGUAUUAGUCAAAUAAGCAUGAACUUGCCUAUGGAGCCAAAUUCAGCCCUAGUGAAAUCAACAUAGUUGUGCUUGUCUACAGCAUAUUUAAUUUGGCCUAUGCAGCUACAGAGCCAACGCUUCAUUUGGCUGUCAAAGGUGUGUAUAUUAAAAACGUAUGAGCCAUGCGUCUCCUUCGUGUGAUUAACUUCUGAAGUUAAAUGCCCAGCUUUCUAUUUAGUUCAGCUGCACAGUCCUAUCACAUAUGCAGUAUUUGCUGUGUGUAUGCACUGAGGUGCAAGGAGAUGUUCCCAUUCCAGCAUUAGCAUGGGGAUGUGAGCUAUGUCUGACAUGAGGGCAUGAUGAGGUGUGUUGCAGCAGAGGUUGCUCACAAGCAGAAGGGUUCCUGUGUGUAGGCCCCAGCUAAUGGGCUGCACUGAGAUUUUGGCCACCAUCUUUCAUUAGUGCUGUUACUCACACCAGCGAGAGUAAAGGAAAGGCUGGUACGUGUAUAAUCGCACGUUCAUUUGCUAUGUAGAUCUAUCUUAAGAGCCUCUCAACCCAGGAAAAUUCUGCUGGAAUGAGGUAGUGGAUGGAUGUGAGACAGAACCAUGUGCAGGUGGCUUGUUCAUUCUGGGAUGACGGAGCUUCUUCCUGGUUUCACUUAAUCCACUUUUAAAGUGGAUUAGGAGAAUUCAAAAAAGUGAGCUCUUACACUGGCAUGAUAUUUGUGUACAUAUGGUUUUGGUUAAGCGUAAUUACUGCAGUGUAGCUAAUAAGUGUUUCGGAAUAAUUUUGCGUGUAGACAAGUCCAAAAUCGCACACCUGAAAACAACACACUGUACAUAGUCGUUCUGUAUAACAUAAGGCUAAUUUAGCCCAACAUUUGACCUACUUCUUUCCUUGUGAGGCAUAUUUAAUUCAUUACAGGUUUUUCUUUCUUAGCAGAAACCAUACAACAGCCAUGUGCUUGUGAUCAAUUCAAGGACAGUGCUUCCAUGUGCACUCCACAAGAUAAAUAAACAAUUUACACAACGUA